AUAAAUUUCACAAGAUGUCUCUUAAAACUCUGGGACUUUAAGUUAUAUCUUCAACAACUUUAUAGAAGAUCGGGCUUUUAGCGAGGUCGUUAGAGAAGCCAAGAAUGCUGGUUAUACCGAGCCAGAUCCAAGAGACGAUCUGUUUGGAAUGGAUGUGGCUAGAAAGGUCAUAAUUCUAGCUAGAGAAUCUGGUUUAAGACUGGAGCUUUCUGAUAUCCAAGUGGACAGCCUUGUGUCAGAACCAUUGAAAUUAAGA